rnacentral:rRNA from 1 species
CCUACGGGUGGCAGCAGUGGGGAAUAUUGCACAAUGGGGGAAACCCUGAUGCAGCGACGCCGCGUGAGUGAAGAAGUAUCUCGGUACGUAAAGCUCUAUUAGCAGGGAAGAUAAUGACGGUACCUGACCAAGAAGCCCCGGCCAACUACGUGCCAGCGGCCGAGGUAAGACGGAGGGGGCAAGCGUUAUCCGGAUUUACGGGGUUUAAGGGGAGUGUAGACGGCAGGAGAGGUCUGGAGUGAAAGCCCGGGGCGUAAGUCCGGAACUGCUUUGGAAACCGUGCGGCUGGAGUGCAGAAGGGGUAGGCGGAAUUCGUGGUGUAGCGGUGAAAUGCGUAGAUAUUAGGAGGAACACCGGUGGCGAAGGCAGCUUACUGAACUGUAACUGACGUUGAGGCUCGAAAGCGUGGGGAGCAAACAGGAUUAGAUACCCGAGUAGUC